rnacentral:misc_RNA from 1 species
GGAGAAGCAAGAAAUGAGUAGGCAACUCGUGGCACUUGAUGCUGAUGCUUCUUUGAGAAGGUUGCUUUUCAUCUAUAUUCUUAUUUCCUUUUCGCUUUUCAUUUCAUAUUUCAGGACCCGCUAGUUGCAAAGAUCAGAUUUUUCAACUUUGACUCUCCUAGUAACCUCAAGAAUAUAGAGGUGCAAACCAAAUGAUGAAACUAUGCCUCUGGUGAGACGAGUUUUGAGAGAGCGAUUCAUUGGUACCCACUA